rnacentral:rRNA from 1 species
GGGCCCGCACAAGCGGUGGAGCAUGUGGUUUAAUUCGAUGAUACGCGAGGAACCUUACCAGGGUUUAAAUGCAGAACGACAGGGGUGGAAACACCCCCUUCUUCGGACGGACUGCAAGGUGCUGCAUGGUUGUCGUCAGCUCGUGCUGUGAAGUGUCGGGUUAAGUCCCAUAACGAGCGCAACCCCCAUUUCUAGUUGCCAGCGGUUCGGCCGGGGACUCUAGAGAAACUGCCAGCGUAAGCUGUGAGGAAGGUGGGGAUGACGUCAAAUCAUCACGGCCCUUACAUCCUGGGCCACACACGUGCUACAAUGGUGGGGACAACAGGUUGCCAACCCGCGAGGGUGAGCCAAUCCCAAAACCCCAUCUCAGUUCGGAUCGGAGUCUGCAACUCGACUCCGUGAAGUUGGAAUCGCUAG